GUCCUACACCUGUUUUGGUCUUGGUACCUCCCUUGUUUCCUCCUCUAAAUGGGAGGCAAUAGUUCCAGUUAUGUGGUUUUGUUUGAAGAAGAGAAAAUUGAUAAACUGGGCUAAAAAUCAAAUACGUCGAAAAUGGGCAGAGUCCUUCUAGAGGCUCUCAUCAUCGGUUUGAGAGGCAAAGGGGAAAAAGAAGGUGAAACACCUCAACAGUACAAAAAGAAGUGUCAAAUAAAAUAUCCAGUGAGCACUCCAACAAUAAAGAUAAGCACCACAUAAAAGCCAUGGUCUUGAGAUAAAAAAACA